GACAGGAUGGUGUAAUGGUUUGAGCGUUGGACUAGGAUAUUGGGAGACCAGGGUUCAAAUCCCUGCUCAGCCA